rnacentral:rRNA from 1 species
GAUGAACGCUAGCGGCAGGCUUAAUACAUGCAAGUCGAGGGGCAGCAUGAUUGUAGCAAUACAAUUGAUGGCGACCGGCAAACGGGUGCGGAACACGUACACAACCUUCCAACAAGUGGGGGAUAGCCCAGAGAAAUUUGGAUUAAUACCCCGUAACAUAGCGAUGUGGCAUCACAUUGCUAUUAUAGAUUUUUAGCUUGUUGAUGGGUGUGCGGCUGAUUAGAUAGUUGGCGGGGUAACGGCCAACCAAGUCUACGAUCAGUAGCUGAUGUGAGAGCAUGAUCAGCCACACGGGCACUGAGACACGGGCCCGACUCCUACGGGAGGCAGCGGUGGGGAAUAUUGGACAAUGGGCGCAAGCCUGAUCCAGCCAUGCCGCGUGUGUGAAGAAGGCCUUCGGGUUGUAAAGCACUUUUGUCCGGAAAGAAAUCCUGUCGGUUAAUACCUGGCGGGGAUGACGGUACCGGAAGAAUAAGCACCGGCUAACUUCGUGCCAGCAGCCGCAGUAACAC